CGCACAUUGCGCCUGCUGGUAUUCCGGUAGGCAUGCCUGUUCGAGCGUCAGCAAAACCUCUCAAUAAUUUAUUAUUGGUUAUGGGCUGCGGAGGAAAUGGCUAUUGCAGCCGCUCCCGCCUUAAACUUGCUGCACGACCGCAAGCUUAUGCUAGGUUAAUGGAGUGGUAUUUACAUUAAAUUCCAGAAAUCCUCUCAUAGCUUGAUGGCGUUAAACCUGAUAGUUGCCUCACCGCAACCGAAGUUUUGACCUCGAAUCAGACAAGGAUACCCGCUGAACUUAA
rnacentral:misc_RNA from 1 species